CAUGCGGGCGAUGUUGCGUUGACAUGCGGGCGAUGUUGUGUGUGUGUAGGUAGUGGUGGUCGGAGAGAGAGAGCAAGGAGAUACACAGGAGUUACUGCUUGCCGCUCACUCUCACUUCCUCCCCAACAAAGCACUCAUUCUACAUGAAGCUAAACCUGACAGCUUGCUCUCUGCAAGACUGAAGGUUUUGGGGAAUCUACAGAAAAUAGAUGGCAAGGCUACAGCUUAUGUUUGCCACAACAACACAUGCUCACUGCCUGUCACCACCCCUCAAGAGCUGGAAAAACUUCUCAUACAGUACUAAUGAUCAGUAAUAAUCAAUCAAUCAUCGAUCAAUCAUCGAUCAGUCCUCCAACUAUGUGAAACAAUUGACUCGGCUUCACAAGAAUGUUUUAUACCAUGAUAAAGCAGUGGAAUUUAGAACAGUAGGCAGUGGCUAAUGGAUUACUGUAAUGUGUAGCGUGCAUACAUCAGUAAGUUUAUGACUCUAAUGAACUUCACUAGAAUAUGUUCGGUAAUCUCACCAUUAUUAUCUCUGGAGAGAUUUAAUGUUUACGACAUAAUUCCUUCUUUAGUUGACAGUUUUCUGUAUAGGAUUAUGGCCGUGUUCUCUAAUUAGUAUCUGAUGAGGCCGCAGUGAUUCUAAUUGGAUUUAAUUGCAUAGAUAAGUAGAUGUGUGCUGUACGUAACAGGAGUAGAGACAGGCUGUAACUUGCUGUCGCUGUGUGGCUGUAGGUGGCGCUGCUAAUCCAUGUUACGUUUUAGCCACAUAUUAUUAGGCGAGUUACAUUUGUCUUUUAUUAUCGUAUAUGUCUAAUCAUAUUUCUACGUGAUCAACGAUCUAUAAAUAUGAGCCCAGUGCCUCACAGUCAGCUGCCUCUACUACUGCUACUACUGUUGCUGCUGCUACUGUUACUGCUGCUGCUGAUGUUGCUGUUGCUUGCUAGGAAUUUGCACAGUAAAUAACGUAGUCAAGAAA